CCUUGUACACACCGCCCGUCACGUCAUGAAAGUCGGCAACACCCGAAGCCAGUGGUCCAACCGUUUACGGAAGGGAGCUGUCGAAGGUGGGGCUGGCGAUUGGGACG
rnacentral:rRNA from 1 species